CAGUCGCCACGGGAAAACGAAGGGGGCUAGCGUUGCUCGGAAUUACUGGGCGUAAAGGGAGCGUAGGCGGAUGUUUAAGUCAGAGGUGAAAUUCCUGGGCUUAACCUGGGGGCUGCAUUUGAUACGUGCGAUCUAGAGUGAGGAAGAGGGUCGUGGAAUUCCCAGUGUAGAGGUGAAAUUCGUAGAUAUUGGGAAGAACACCGGUGGCGAAGGCGGCGACCUGGUCCUUGACUGACGCUGAGGCGCGAAAGCGUGGGGAGCAAACAGGAUUAGAUACCCCAGUAGUCCCUGUCUCUUAUAC
rnacentral:rRNA from 1 species